CAACUCUGGAAAGCGGACGCCGCUGGGCGUCCCGCCGACGGUGAAAACCGGGCACGACGCCGCCCGGUGAAGCUCUCAGGCCCAUGACAGAGGGGGA
rfam:Frankia asymbiotica strain NRRL B-16386 contig_57, whole genome shotgun sequence.